rnacentral:rRNA from 1 species
GCUGGCGGAGGCUUAACACAUGCAAGUCGAACGCGUGUAGCAAUACACGAGUGGCGCACGGGUGAGUAACGCGUGGAUAUCUGCCUUUUGGUUCGGAAUAACCCCGGGAAACUGGGGCUAAUACCGGAUGGUUCCUACGGGAUAAAGAUUUAUCGCCAAAAGAUGAGUCCGCGUACGAUUAGCUAGUUGGUGAGGUAAUGGCUCACCAAGGCGACGAUCGUUAGCUGGUCUGAGAGGACGAUCAGCCACACUGGGACUGAGACACGGCCCAGACUCCUACGGGAGGCAGCAGUGGGGAAUAUUGGACAAUGGGGGCAACCCUGAUCCAGCCAUGCCGCGUGAGUGAUGAAGGCCUUCGGGUUGUAAAGCUCUUUUGGCGGGGACGAUGAUGACGGUACCCGCAGAAUAAGCCCCGGCUAACUUCGUGCCAGCAGCCGCGGUAAGACGAAGGGGGCUAGCGCUGUUCGGAAUUACUGGGCGUAAAGCGCGUGU